ACAUUGCGAACCCUUGAUGUUUCGCCCUAGUUUCCCCGACCUGAUCUCGAGCCGUCGAUUUCAAUUUUUUGCCUCUUCUUCCAGGCUCCCCCUCACCUCCUCUUCUUAUCCUCUUUGCUUUCGCCUCUACAUCCCAUCGAUCACUCCUCUCCUAUGGCGUAGAACCCUAAUCUCAAGAUCUCGCCAUGAAGAGGGGGAAAUCAAAGACUGACACUCCCAAGAAGGCUAAUACGAAUCUUUUGGUGAAGAAGGGACCGGAACGUGCAGCAAAGAAGCCAAGGAAUUCCAAAACUGGCAAGGAUCCCAACACGCCCAAGAGGCCUUAGAGUGCCUUCUUCGACUUCAUGGAAGAAUUUUGGAAGACGUUCAAGGAAAAGAACCCUAAUAACAAGUCAGUCGCAACGUUGGAGGAGACAAGUGGAAAUCUUUGACGGAAGAAGGAAAAAGAUCUUUUGCAUGAGAAGGAGGUGGCUAUCAAGCAGCUAAAGUGUGAUGGCCUUCAAGGGAACAAAGACAAUGAUUAUAUACAUUAAGGAAGCAUAUGUCAAAGUCCUUACAAGGUUGGUUCUAAAUUAUUUGCUGCAUACUGGAUGAUAAAGGUAGAACUGUAUCAAAUAUUGAUGGUGGCAUUAUUCAAUCUGAUGCUAACUUGCAAGUCAACUAUUUUGAAGGAUGAUUCAUCUGAAAUUAAUUUGUUGGUUCAAAGAAUUUUGUAUCAAUGUCUUGUAGCCCCAAAGGUACCAUCCACUUUAAAUAUUGUCUUAGAGUAAAAUCUUCAUGGAUCAAUCCGAAGACAAAUGUGAGGAUGUUGGUGAUAAACCAGAUGACACCAUGAAAUUAAAGAUUCUAACAAGGGAAAUGCUGCAAAGAAGCAUCUAUUAAACAUGUUGGGUGCAAUCUCAACACCCGCAGCAUUUGCUAAGUUUCCUCCGAUGUCUGGAAAGGUUGCUGCUGCCCACACAGCCAAUCCAAUCCAUGUAACCUCUGGGUUUAUUCGCAUCUAUAGUUCAACCAUAUCAGAAAAUGUCGUGCACGGGCCCUCCCAGAAGAAUGGACAUGCACAUUGCAUGCUUUCCUACAGCGUGCCUGAUGAAUCUACGAGAAAGCGUCAGGUUAAUCCUAUGUCGAUGGUGAUCCAAGGAGGCAUAUAUGUACUUAUUCUUAGUCUCAUGGCUAAUUCUUACCAUUAUCUACAAAGCGACGGCUGGAUACACGACAAGAAAGAAGGUUAUACAAAUCAAGUAAGAUUUGACUGACCUGAACAUUUAUAUUUCCACAUCCAGUGCAAUUGAAGAAACUCAGGUACUAGGAUUAUUUAGUGCCCCAAUAGAUAAACAAUAGCUAGUUCAACAUUUUAUACACUAAGUUAUUCAACAACACAUGGCAACUGUAUUACAACAUUUCGUUGUAAUUUGUUGGGAAAAAUUCUGAUCCCAAUUGGUCCCUCGUAUUUGCAUGGGGCUUUUAAUGUGACACUCGAAGUUUCAUUCAUCUCAUUUAAUCUUUGUUUAGUUAUCUCAUGACUACAUUUCAGUGUGAUUUCUAGUUAAAGUUCUUUCCAAUUUGACCUCUGAAGUUUGUAUUAUAGGUUUUGAUUUAACUAAGUUUAGUUGCCUCAUUUUAGCUUCUGUUGUGUUUUUUAUUUUUUUAACUCAUGUAGUUCAAUGAAACAAUGGGUCAAGCUUCCGGAUCCAGGUUCGGUCUAGAGAAGGACCAUAGUGAGUACUUAACCAAAUACCAAAGGUUUCAUUGAUUCAAAUGAAACUUGAGGGACUAAAUUUAAGUAUUCAAAC